ensembl:snoRNA
ACUGCCCCUAGAGGCUUUGCAUGUGUCCCUGCCAUGUCACACGUGCAUCAGUAGAUGACAGAGAGGAGAGGCUGUGUCUACGCCCAGUGUUCUGACCUGUGAACAUCGGAAAAAAAUCGAGCCUGAGAUG